rfam:Alkaliphilus metalliredigens QYMF, complete genome.
AAAAAAGAGGGGUUGUAGGGGAUGAAAUCCCCUGCCUGUACUCAGGAAGGUGCUCAGACAGCUUGGCUGUCGUCGAAGGAAAC